rnacentral:tRNA from 1 species
GGAGUAUAGCUCAGUAGUAGAGCACAUGCUUGGCAUGCACGAGGUCCUGGGCUCAAGUCCCCAGUGCCUCCG